UUCGGAUAAGAGGCUGAAACUCGCCUCUUUGAAGUCGGAAUCGCUAGUAAUCGCAGAUCAGCAUGUUGCGGUGAAUACGUUCCCGGGUCUUGUACACACCGCCCGUCAAACCAUGAGAGUCACCAACACCCGAAGUCCGCUUUGGCGGCCUAAGGUGGGGGAGAUGAUUGGGGUUAAGUCGUAACAAGGUACC
rnacentral:rRNA from 1 species